UUUAAAGUCUAACCUGCCCAAUGAUUAAUUAAAUGGCCGCAGUAAUUUGACUGUGCAAAGGUAGCAUAAUCAUUAGUUUUUUAAUUGGAAGCUGGAAUGAAUGGUUGGACGAGAAAAAUACUGUCUCAAUUUAAUUUAAAUUAGAAUUUUAUUUUUAAGUAAAAAAGCUUAAAUGGAUUUAAAAGACGAGAAGACCCUAUAGAGUUUUAUAUUUAAUUUAGUGAAAUUUUUAAGGUAUUAGAAAUUAUUUUAAUAAAUUAAUUAUUUAAUUGGGGUGAUUAGGAAAUUAAAUUAACUUUCUUUAAUUUUUACAUAUUUAUUUAUGAUUGAAUGAUCCAUUAUUAAUGAUUAAAAGAUAAAAUUACCUUAGGGAUAACAGCGUAAUUUUUUUAGAGAGUUCUUAUUAAUAAAAAAGUUUGCGACCUCGAUGUUGGAUUAAAAUAAGUUUUUGGUGCAGUAGCUUAAAAAUAAGGUCUGUUCGACCUUUAAAAUUUUACAUGAUCUGAGUUCAAACCGG
rnacentral:rRNA from 1 species